AGUAACUUCUAAAUCAUUAAAAAACCCCACAAAUAAACAAAACCCCCUUCGUGCACUGUCUAGUGCAGUGGUUUUCAGACUGUGGGUCUCGACCCAGCACCAGCCAAUGGGAGCUGGUGGAGGCAGUACCUGCAGGCGAGAGCCACAUGGAGCCGCUUGUGCGCCUCCACCGAGCCAGACUGGCUGCUGGCCGCUUCCGGGGCGCAGGGCAGUCCAUGGUGCCAGGACAGGCGGGAGGCCUGCCUCUGCACCCCCGCUGCACCACUGACCGGGAGCCGCCUGAGGACGGUGGUGGGUGAAAAACUUGAGUCACCUUUGUGAAGUGCUCUGAGAUCUCCAGAAGAGAAGAUACUGUAGAAACAAUCUACCAUUCUGGUGUGGGGUGCUGGGGCUUUUCCUUAGCAGACAAUUAAAAACAGGCAUCUCUGUAAAGCUAGGCUUCACUCCGACGAGGCUCACCUCGAACUCACAUAUGCCAGCUGUUGAACAGCACAUGCCUAGAGCAGUUUUUGAGUAUACAGAUUUCUAAAAGAGAAAAAGAGAAGGGGCAGUUUGGCACGGAAAGGCUGCAAUGUGGGAUUUUCAGAUCUCAUUGUCACAAUCACAGAGCAUCUGAGGUGUGUUUAAAAGCCCAGUCUGAGCCACCCUGUUGUGCAGGAGACCAAGGCUAGCACAUGACACAGGUGAGCAGCACUGUCUCAGUCCCCUCAUUCCCCCAGGGAACACUUGCUUUCAACUGGCACAAACAGACAGCGAGAGAGAGCUGUACAGAAUAUAUUAGUCUCUUCCUCCACCCGAGAGGGAAUGUGCUGCGUCUGUGACUGAAGACUGGACAGACGCAGGCUGAUAAGAGGAAAUAAUAGAGAGACACUCACAGACACAAUGCAAUCUUAGGAUGGAAGCUAUGAACAUGCCUACUAGCUGACUAGGGGCAAACCCAACAAAGUAAACAAGCUAGCUCGGGGCUGCUUUGCUGUGUUCUGGUGUCUGGCAUACACAGUUACAAUCCCUAGUCCCCUUCAAUUUGAUUGGUCAGAGCAGCCUGCCUUUUGUGAUUUUUCCCCUUUGGACUGUAUUUAUUUCACAACCGUUCAGUUUACUUUUGGUAACAAUAUUGCACUGCAAAGUCUUUGGUGGCCUCUGUGGUUUAAACAGCCUGGAUUACAGACUUGGCAGACAAAGCCUGCAACAGAUAAGCUGGGAAUGUUAAGUCACAAUAAUAGUAAACAAGCACUUUCAGCUGGAUUAUUUUUUCUCAGUAAAGUGUUAAAUCUCCUUUUUCGGUGUGUACCAAGUCAGGAUCAUUGUGUUCUGGUUUGAAAUGUACAUCCCUGAGCUCUGAAAGAAUGUAGAUUGGAGUUUGCUUGAGCUAGAAAUAAGAUCAAUUAUUGAAAGGGAUUGUUUGACUAUAGGGUGGAUAGAAAGCUGACUAGAUCGUUGGGCUCAAUGGGUAGUGAUCAAUGGCUUGAUGUCUAGUUGGCAACUGGCAUCAAGCGGAGUGACCCGGGGGUCGGUCCUGGGACCAGUUUUGUUCAACAUCUUCAUCGAUGAUGGGAUUGAUUUCACCCUCAGCAAGUUCACGGUUGACACUAAGCUGGGGGGAGACGUAGAUACGCUGGAGGGUAGGGAUAGAAGCCAGAGUGACCUGGACAAAUUGGAGGAUUGGGCCAAAAGAAAUCUGAUGAGGUUCAACAAGGACAAGUGCAGAGUCCUGAACUUAGGACAGAAGAAUUCCAGGCACCGCUACAGGCUGGGGACUGAGUGGCUAAACGGCAGUUCUGCAGAGAAGGACCUGGGGAUUAUAGUGGAGGAGAAGCUGGAUAUGAGUCUAUGGUGUGCCCUUGUUGCCAAGAAGGCCAAUGGCAUAUUGGGCUGCAUUAGUAGGAGCGUUGUCAGCAGAUCGUGGGAAGUGAUUAUUUCCCUCUAUUCUGCACUGGUGAGGCCACAUCUGGAGUAAUGUGUCCAGUUUUGGGACCCCCACUACAGAAAGGAUGGACAAAUGGGAGAGAAUCCAACGGAGGGCAACGAAAAUGAUUAGGGGGCUGGGGCACAUGACUUAUGAGGAGAGACUGAGGGAAUUGGGCUUAUUUAGUCUGCAGAAGAGUGAGGGGGGAUUUGAUAGUAGCCUUCAACUACCUGAAAGAGGGUUCCGAAGAGGAUGGAGCUAGGCUGUUCUCAGUGGUGGCAGAUGACAGAACAAGAAGCAAUGGUCUCAAGUUGCAGUGAGGGAAGUCUGAGUUGGAUAUUAGGAAAAAUUAUUUCACUCUGAAGGUGGUGAAGCACAGGAAUGGGUUACCUAGGGAGGUGGUGGAAUCUCCAUCCUUAGAGGUUUUUAAGGCCCGGCUUGACAAAGCCCUGGCUGGGAUGAUUUAGAUGGGGUUGGUCCUGCUUUGACUAGGAGGUUGGACUAAAUGACUCCUGAGGUCUCUUCCAACCCUAAUCUUCUAUGAUUCUAUGACUCAACUACCUUAAAGAGUUACUUACAGUGAGCCUGAAGAAGGUUUUGCAGUAGUCCGAGUAGCUCUUUUGUCUGCUGGCCUAUGCCAAACUAUUGAGCAAAGCUGUGAUGGCUUCUCAUAUGUCUCACUCUUAACGUAGUGAUGGAUAGUUCAGACCACACUUACAAGUUCUUCUAGAGCAGAGGUUCUCAAACUGUGGGUCAGGACCCCAGAGUGGGUCAGGACCCCAUUUUAAUGGGGUUGCCAAGGCUGGCUUAGACUUGCUGGGGCCAAAGCUGAAGACUGAGGGCUUCAGCCCUGGCUGGCAGAGUUCAGGUUACAGGCCCCCUGUCUGGGACUGAACCCCUUGAGCUUUGGCCCCCCAACCCAGGGCAGCGGGACUCAGGCAGGUGUGGGUUUCGAUCCCGCCUCCUGGGGUUGUGUAGUAAUUUUUGUCAGAAGGGCGGGGGGGGGGGGGGGGGGUCACAGUGCAAUGAAGUUUGAGAACCCCUGUUCUAGAGCUUGAUCUUGCGAGGUGCUGAGCACUCCGGCCCAGUUCAGGAAAGCACUUAAGCACAUGAAGCGUCCUAAGUCAGUAAAACUAAUCACAUGAUUCAAAUUAGGUACUGCUUAAGUGUUUUGAGGGAUUGGGUCAGCGUGCUCAGGACCUUGCAGGAUCAAGUCCUUUUAUGCAACUUAUUCAGUGUAAGAGCAAGACAGGGCUCAUUUCCUCGGUGGUUUGGAGUCUUUGAGAUUGAAAAAAAAAUUUUUUAAAAAAUCUUACCUUCUUCCUCCCCCAGAGGAGGGCCAAUGGGGUAGGAUGUGAGAAGGCACUCCCUACACCUGCUUUCUGGGGAUAGUCCUUCCUGUGUUGUCACAAAGGGGGGCAUUGAAUUCACCCCUGAAGAGGGCAUGAGGACAUAGCUGAUACUCACCAUGGACUCCGCAAUCUUCAGACUACCACAUCUGAUGCAGGACGGUUCUACUUCCCACUCUGCACCUUGCAGAAGGGAGAUGUUGCUCCUACCUCUGUCCAUGGCAUGCAGGAUCUCUGCACCAAGGCCAGUUUACUCCUGCUUGGUGCAGGGGUGAUGAUUUGGACCAAGUCACAUACUAAAAUAUAAAACUACUUACCAUGCCAGGUUACUCUUGUUUGGUCACCAGCUCAGACAUGGGCUCCAUUUAUACUGAACUCUAUGCUGAGUCUGUAUGCUUUGAGUGGAAAAAAAGACUGACUUUGGAGCAAAGAUAGCUUUCCCAGUCAAAAUAGCUAAAACAUUCAGGCUUUGGCAAAUUUAGUGUACAAAGAGUAAUUUUGUUAUAAACUGCCACUAAUUUGACACUGGGGAAGGCACAAAAUGACUAUUUUCAUGGUCAAUUCCACCAAUUCAAAAUAGUGAAGUUGGCUCAGCUGACAGGCACUGUAUCAGCCCAAUAAAACCCUUAACCAUAGCUGUAUAGGAGUCAAAUGGCUGUUUUCUAAUCCCUCCUGUUUAUUGAUGCAAGGAGCCCAACUGUUUAUGCCAGUAGCAUAAAAUUCAGUAUUUCAACCUUUUUUCCUAAUUUGGCACAAAAACAAAUGUUAAAAUAUCAGAAUUUUCCAAACCAUGGAAAUUCUGAUUUUUGACCAGCUCUAGACUGGUAUAAUGGUGUCACUCACAGGACUGUUAAGAGACUCAAAUCACUGCUGAAAGUUGCAGUAGGUGCAAAGUUGUGCUAUAAAUAACUCAAAUAGAUUGAACUAUUGGUAUAAUAGAUUUUUAAUACAGGUAUGUAUUUAUGGCGUUACAUCAAAGCAAUUUCAUGAAGAUAGAUUUUUGAUUUUACAACACUGUAAAAUAGAUACAUACAAAUGUGGGACAAAAUAUGGCAAUUACAGUAUUUAGUAUAAAAUCUAAACAUGUGCAUUCAAAGGGAAAUAUACUUAAGUAACCUCAGUAGUAAUUUAAACUCAGUAGUUGGCUGCACUUAUCCUUACUUUUUUCAGGAACUGGAAAUUAUUUUAGCCACACAACUCCUAUUAAAGUUAAUA